rnacentral:piRNA from 2 species
UCCAGGGAGAGUCCUUGAGAAGUCCCUCAU